GACGAACGCUGGCGGCGUGCUUAACACAUGCAAGUCGAACGGAAAGGCCCUGCUUUUGUGGGGUGCUCGAGUGGCGAACGGGUGAGUAACACGUGAGUAACCUGCCCUUGACUUUGGGAUAACUUCAGGAAACUGGGGCUAAUACCGGAUAGGAGCUCCUGCUGCAUGGUGGGCGUUGGAAAGUUUCGGCGGUUGGGGAUGGACUCGCGGCUUAUCAGCUUGUUGGUGGGGUAGUGGCUUACCAAGGCUUUGACGGGUAGCCGGCCUGAGAGGGUGACCGGCCACAUUGGGACUGAGAUACGGCACAGACUCCUACGGGAGGCAGCAGUGGGGAAUAUUGCACAAUGGGCGGAAGCCUGAUGCAGCAACGCCGCGUGCGGGAUGACGGCCUUCGGGUUGUAAACCGCUUUCGCCUGUGACGAAGCGUGAGUGACGGUAAUGGGUAAAGAAGCACCGGCUAACUACGUG
rnacentral:rRNA from 1 species